CGGGAUGUAGCGCAGCCCGGUAGCGCGCUUCGUUCGGGACGAAGAGGCCGGCGGUUCGAAUCCGCCCAUCCCGA
rnacentral:tRNA from 2 species